UGAUGCAGCGACGCCGCGUGAAGGAAGAAGUAUUUCGGUAUGUAAACUUCUAUCAGCAGGGAAGAAAAUGACGGUACCUGACUAAGAAGCCCCGGCUAACUACGUGCC
rnacentral:rRNA from 1 species